UACGUAGGAGGCGAGCGUUGUCCGGAGUUACUGGGCGUAAAGGGUGCGCAGGCGGACGGUUGCGGUUUGCGGUGAAAGCGCUGGGCUUACCUCAGCGAGGGCCGUGAAGACGGAUCGUCUUGAGGGGCGGAGAGGGACGUGGAAUUCCACGUGUAGCAGUGAAAUGACGUAGAGAUGUGGAGGAACGACCGGAUGGCGCAAGGCAGCCCCCUGGGACGUAACACCCUGGACGC
rnacentral:rRNA from 1 species